ACGGGAGGCAGCAGUGGGGAAUAUUGCACAAUGGGCGCAAGCCUGAUGCAGCGACGCCGCGUGAGUGAAGAAGUAUUUCGGUAUGUAAAGCUCUAUCAGCAGGAAAGAAAAUGACGGUACCUGACUAAGAAGCCCCGGCUAACUACGUGCCAGCAGCCGCGGUAAUACGUAGGGGGCAAGCGUUAUCCGGAAUUACUGGGUGUAAAGGGUGCGUAGGCGGUAAAGCAAGUUAGAUGUGAAACCUCAGGGCUUAACCCUGAGCAUGCAUCUAAAACUACUGGACUAGAGUAUAGGAGAGGAAAGCGGAAUUCCUGGUGUAGCGGUGAAAUGCGUAGAUAUCAGGAAGAACACCGGCGGCGAAGGCGGCUUUCUGGACUAAAACUGACGCUGAGGCACGAAAGCGUGGGGAGCAAACAGGAUUAGAUACCCUGGUA
rnacentral:rRNA from 1 species